GGACGGGAUUGGGGAGCUUGCUCCUCAUGAGAGUGGCGCACGGGUGCGUAACACGUAUGUAACCUACCUUUAUCAGGGGGAUAGCCUCUCGAAAGAGAGAUUAAGCCCGCAUAAAAUCACACUGUGGCAUCACAGAAUGAUCAAAUAUUUAUAGGAUAAAGAUGGGCAUGCGGAACAUUAGCUAGUUGGCGAGGUAACGGCUCACCAAGGCUACGAUGUUUAGGGGAUCUGAGAGGAUGACCCCCCACACUGGUACUGAGACACGGACCAGACUCCUACGGGAGGCAGCAGUAAGGAAUAUUGGUCAAUGGGCGGAAGCCUGAACCAGCCAUGCCGCGUGCAGGAAGACGGCCCUACGGGUUGUAAACUGCUUUUGUACGGGAAUAAACCCACCUACGUGUAGGUGGCUGAAUGUACUGUAAGAAUAAGGAUCGGCUAACUCCGUG
rnacentral:rRNA from 1 species